rnacentral:rRNA from 1 species
GACGAACGCUGGCGGCGUGCCUAAUACAUGCAAGUCGAACGCUGAAGGAGGAGCUUGCUUCUCUGGAUGAGUUGCGAACGGGUGAGUAACGCGUAGGUAACCUGCCUGGUAGCGGGGGAUAACUAUUGGAAACGAUAGCUAAUACCGCAUAAUAGUAGAUGUUGCAUGACAUUUGCUUAAAAGGUGCAAUUGCAUCACUACCAGAUGGACCUGCGUUGUAUUAGCUAGUUGGUGGGGUAACGGCUCACCAAGGCGACGAUACAUAGCCGACCUGAGAGGGUGAUCGGCCACACUGGGACUGAGACACGGCCCAGACUCCUACGGGAGGCAGCAGUAGGGAAUCUUCGGCAAUGGACGGAAGUCUGGCCGAGCAACGCCGCGUGAGUGAAGAAGGUUUUCGGAUCGUAAAGCUCUGUUGUAAGAGAAGAACGAGUGUGAGAGUGGAAAGUUCACACUGUGACGGUAUCUUACCAGAAAGAGACGGCUAACUACGUG